UGGUACUAGUAAAAGAGAUUCUGUCAUUGUUCCCCUCAGGUGCCCUUUGGUGAAAAUGAGGGACAUGAGAAUGCCAUCACACAGUCGGACGGAAGCUUCAACAGAGCCAGUGGGUGUACAGUUUAAAACAUCAUCAUUGUACACCGCAACCUUCUUCACCAAGUCCAGAUGAAACCGUACCAAGUGAGUUGUUGUCUCUGAUAAAGAAGAUGCGACCAGACAAUUUAUCAUCAAUAAAGACUGCAAUCAAUCAAACCUUCAGUUACAGAAAAAGAUGGAUAACAACAAAAUCCCUUCAAAAUCUCUUGCUGAAAUCUUCAAGGACUAUCCCAGAUUUCUUGACAUGCCAGCUUUGAUGGACAUUGAAUUUUCCAAGCUCACAGAUAGGAACGAAGACUUGUUUAUCCAAAAAGGGAAGGGACGAUAAUUCCAGAACUCAAAGAAAUAGCAUCUUGGAGAAGAAAAUUGACAUCAGACUCUUACUGAAGAUGGCUGACAAUCAGCAUGAUGAUGAGCUGUUAAACUGUUAAAGAUCCUUAUUCAUCUUCUUCCACCCACUGCCUCUGGGAGAAGUGUUGCUGGGAGUAAAUGCUGUGUGACUUCUGCUGUGUCCUACCUGUUGGAGCAAGUGCCGGCUGGUACCACCGUUACAUCUUUGCUCACUGAAUCCAUGAAAGGGACCCUGAAGUCAGCUCAGCCGCAGUUGGUUUCUAUUGGUUGUCUAGGACAUGGAUCCUUGUACGUGUACGUGUACUUGUAGCUGUGGCAAAGAAUGACUCUUUUGCUCUUCCACUCGAUCCUGAAAGCCUGACCUGUGCUGUAGACAGACUUUUCAAAUUCUUCUGGCUGUGCAAUCUUCAGUAUCCAUGCCAACUGUCUUCUGUUUUUUUUUUUUUGAGUAUAUAUAUAUAUAUAUAUGACCUGUCCUUGUCCCAGUCAUCUUGCACACGAUUAAAGGUCAUGGAAUUAAUUGCUAAGGUGCAGUCUUGUACCUAAUUGAAAUAAGCAUGUACACCUAUCCAAAGUGUCUUUAAAAUGAUUUUGUAAAUUGGCAUUUAAGGGAAA